AUUACUGAUCUGCGAUAACCUAUUUUUUUCUCUAACAAAUUAGGCUAUUGCACUAUUAUUGUUUUUCACACAGAUUAGAAUAAUAGAACACAUUUGCAGAGCAACUGCGGAGAAUUUGUGCAUGAAAUACAAACAAUUUAUUGUCCAUGCAGGAACCUAUCACUGUGCUUAACGACAACUUGGAUUUAUAUAGCACCCUUCACAAGGGGUAGCGUACCAGAGCGCUUAAGAGUAUCUACUCCAGACCGAGAGUUCCACGUAUUAAUGCCACCCAUGCAUGGAAAGAUCUCUGUGUUGAAAAUGGAAUGCAUACUCUCUCUCCCAGAAAGGCAUACGCUGUUUAACUAAUUCAGAGAAUAUUGGGUGCAGAUUGGUGAGGGUUGAGAGUUGAGGGGACCCCAGAGUGUGUGUUGGGGUAACUGCUGAAAUUAGCCAGCUCAAACCAAGUAGCUUGCCGUUAAGAGCACUGUCUGGCAAGCUUCCAGCUAAGUACAUCCUACCCAUUCAUUAAGGCUUUAGCCUGCAGGGUUAACAGGAGUUGAAUAGGAAAAAUCUCUGCCGCCAGUGACUGACUUGGACAAAGCUUCACAUCAUCAUCAUAAGAAUAAGAAUAAUAAUAAGCAGUGUCCCACAAAUGGCCAUGAAGUGAGUGGAUCGAGUGUGGGAUUGUCAGCCUGAACCCAAGAAAUAACGCAGACAUAGGUCCUUGUUCCCUGGGAUGAACCAGGUUCUCAUUACUGGGAUGGGAUCAGAGUAAAAUAGUGACCUCUUCUGGUGGCGGAAAUUAUGAAAUGAAUAACCAGAACAGCAAGAGUAACUCCCUUCAAUUUUUGAGCAGAAUUAUGGGAUGUU